UUUGAGGAGGAAAGUGGGGGACCUUCGGCCUCACGCUGAAGGAGCGGCCGAUGUCAGAUUAGCUAGUUGGUGGGGUAAAGGCCUACCAAGGCGACGAUCUGUAGCUGGUCUGAGAGGAUGAUCAGCCACACUGGAAAGAGACACGGUCCAGACUCCUACGGGAGGCAGCAGUGGGGAAUUUUGGACAAUGGGGGCAACCCUGAUCCAGCCAUGCCGCGUGCGGGAAGAAGGCCCUCGGGUUGUAAACCGCUUUCAGAUGGAAAGAAAUGGUGUAGGUUAAUAACCUGCAUUGAUGACGGUACCAUCAGAAGAAGCACCGGCUAACUACGUGCCAGCAGCCGCGGUAAUACGUAGGGUGCGAGCGUUAAUCGGAAUUACUGGGCGUAAAGCGUGCGCAGGCGGUUCUUUAAGACAGGUGUGAAAUCCCCGGGCUUAACCAGGGAAUUGCGCUUGUGACUGGAGGGCUAGAGUGUGGCAGAGGGGAAUGGAAUUCCUGGUGUAGCAGUGAAAUGCGUAGAUAUCAGGAGGAACACCGAUGGCGAAGGCAGUUCCCUGGGCCAACACUGACGCUCAUGCACGAAAGCGUGGGGAGCAAACAGGAUUAGAUACCCUGGUAGUCCACGCCCUAAACGAUGUCAACUAGUUGUUGGGGAGGGAGACCUCUUUAGUAACGUAGCUAACGCGUGAAGUUGACCGCCUGGGGAGUACGGCCGCAAGGUUAAAACUCAAAGGAAUUGAUCGGGGACCCGCACAAGCGGUGGAUGAUGUGGAUUAAUUCGAUGC
rnacentral:rRNA from 1 species